GGGGGGGGCUAGCGUUGUUCGGAAUUACUGGGCGUAAAGGGCUCGUAGGCGGCCAACUAAGUCAGACGUGAAAUCCCUCGGCUUAACCGAGGAACUGCGUCUGAUACUGGAUGGCUGGAAUCUGGGAGAGGGAUGCGGAAUUCCAGGUGUAGCGGUGAAAUGCGUAGAUAUCUGGAGGAACACCGGUGGCGAAGGCGGCAUCCUGGACCGGCAUUGACGCUGAGGAGCGAAAGCCAGGGGAGCAAACGGGAUUAGAUACCCCGGUAGUCCUGGCCCUAAACGAUGAAUGCUUGGUGUGGCGGGUAUCGGUCCCUGCCGUGCCGAAGCUAACGCAUUAAGCAUUCCGCCUGGAGAGUACGGUCGCAAGGCUG
rnacentral:rRNA from 1 species